rnacentral:rRNA from 1 species
GAGACAGCAGUCGCCGCGGUAAUACAGAGGGUGCGAGCGUUAAUCGGAUUUACUGGGCGUAAAGCGUGCGUAGGCGGCUUCUUAAGUCGGAUGUGAAAUCCCUGAGCUUAACUUAGGAAUUGCAUUCGAUACUGGGAAGCUAGAGUAUGGGAGAGGAUGGUAGAAUUCCAGGUGUAGCGGUGAAAUGCGUAGAGAUCUGGAGGAAUACCGAUGGCGAAGGCAGCCAUCUGGCCUAAUACUGACGCUGAGGUACGAAAGCAUGGGGAGCAAACAGGAUUAGAUACCCCCGUAGUCCCUGUCUCUUAUAC